rnacentral:rRNA from 1 species
UGCCAGUAGUCAUAUGCUUGUGUCAAGGAUUAAGCCAUGCAAGUGUCAGCGUAAAUGGAUUCCCAGUGGGGCUGCAAGCGGCUCAUUAAAUCAGCAACAAUCUACAUGGUGAAGUGGGCAUCUUUGGAUGCCAACCAAACGGAUAACCUCCGUAACCCGGUGGCUAAUACGUGUACGAAAAGGGUCUCCUCUAUCAAUACACCAAAGGGAAACCCGAGGUGUGGAGGAGAAAUGCAUCUGACCGGUACAAAAGCUGGCGCUCGCAAGAGCAGCGUGUAUGGAUGAACUAGGUUAAAAUUGUAAUAGCGUAGCAGUCUUGCACUGGCGCUAGGCUGUGUGAAUUUCUGCCCUAUCAGCUUUCGAUGGUAGUGCAGUGGACUACCAUGGCAUCUACGGGUAACGAGGAAUCAGGGUUUGAUUUCGGAGAGGGAGCUCUAGAAACGGCUACCACAUCUAAGGAAGGCAGCAGGCGCGCAAAUUGCCCAAUACCAGCACUGGUGAGGCAGCGACGAACAAUAACAACUCCGCACACUUCGGUUUGUGGAGAUUGUAAUGGACGGUAUCCAAAACCAUCAAUGAGUAUCAAUUGGAGGGCAAGUCUGGUGCCAGCAGCCGCGGUAAUUCCAGCUCCAAUAGCGUAUGCUAACGUUGUUGCUGUUAAAAAGCUCGUAGUUGGGCAAAGAGUUAGCCAUUGCAAAGUGGCCCAGAAAGGUAGUCUGUUCAGUGACACCUCGGUGUUACUGGCAGGUUAUCUUGAUGGGAACAAAACCCCUUUGCGUACGAUGUCUGCUCUUUGCACAUGGAAGUAGAACUCUCGCGGAAGCUACCUUGAUUGGUAGUGAAAGUAGUUCCGCAUUUAACACAUGCAUAAGGGAGUGUCCGUGGUAGUUACUGUGAACAAAACAGCGUGUUCAAGGCAACCCUUUGCAUGGUUGCAUGAUUCAGCAUAGAAUAACAAGGUAUCGAACAUGGGAUCGUCUUUUGGCCAGUUUUCUAGAUCAACGUGUAGAAUGCAGGACAGGAUGGCUGGCAGGUGCGCAGUCAUGCGAGUUCGCUCAAAUGCUGCUAACCUGUCAGUACCUGUAUCUAUCGGGAUUAACGGAUUCCAUCGGGGAGAUGGGUAUUGUCAAGCUAGAGGUGAAAUUCUUAGAACUUUGCAGGUCCAACGAAGGCGCAGGCAUUUCUCAAGCGUGUUUUCAUUGAUCAAGAACGAGAGUUUGGGGAUCGAAGAUGAUCAGAUACCGUCGUAGUCCACACCGUAAACUAUGCCGAUCGGGUAUUGGAUGUUCUGUUCAAACUCCCGAUGUGUCCGGGACUUUCACUUACCUUUAUAAGAGAAAUCCGAAUGUAUGGGUUCAGGGGGGAGUACAUUCGCAAGGCCGAAACUUAAAGGAAUUGACGGAAUGACACCACCAGGCGUGGAGUGUGCGGCUUAAUUUGACUCAACACGGGGAACUUUACCAGGUCAGGACAAUGCAAGGAUUGACAGAUUGAGAGCUCUUUCUUGAUUCAUUGGAUGGUGGUGCAUGGCCGGUCUUGGUUCGUGGGGUGACCUGUCUUCUUAACUGCGGUAACGAACGAGAUCUCUUCCCUUAACCAGGUGUUUGAUUCAUUAUGUAGGGGCCCGCAGGCGCCCGGGGCUUGCCCAGGGUACCUGUUUGGGUUUCGAGAAACAGUGUAAGUUCUUCUUAUGGGGACUGCGUGCGUUUUUAGUACGCGGAAGAUGGAGCUAAUACCAGGUCUGUGAUGCUCCUAAAUGUUCUGGGCUGCACGCGCACUACACUGGUGUGGCAAACGAGUACAUUGGAAAUGACUGGACUCUGACAGCUUGCUGUCAAUGAGAGUGUCAACUAACCUGCCUAGAAGUGGGUGGGGAAUCUGAGAAACUCUUGCCGUGAUUGGGAUAGAUGAUUGAAAUUAUUCGUCUUGAACGAGGAAUGCCUAGUAGGCGUAGCUCAUCAAGCUACAUCGACUAUGUCCCUGCCAUUUGUACACACCGCCCGUCGUUGCUACCGAUUUGGUUCACGCGUAGAGAAGUCAGGAGGUAACUGAACAUUCGUUCAGGACUAAAUUUCGUCGAUAUGUGUAUACUAGAGGAAGCAAAAGUCGUAACAAGGUUGCUGUAGGUGAACC